GACGAACGCUGGCGGCGUGCUUAACACAUGCAAGUCGAACGGUAAGGCCCUUCGGGGUACACGAGUGGCGAACGGGUGAGUAACGCGUGAGUAACCUGCCCUUCACUCUGGGAUAACAGUUGGAAACGGCUGCUAAUACCGGAUAUUCAGCUCCUGUCGCAUGGUGGGGGUUGGAAAGUUUUGGUGGUGGAGGAUGGGCUCGCGUCCUAUCAGCUUGUUGGUGGGGUGAUGGCCUACCAAGGCGUCGACGGGUAGCCGGCCUGAGAGGGCGACCGGCCACAUUGGGACUGAGAUACGGCCCAAACUCCUACGGGAGGGAGCAGUGGGGAAUAUUGCACAAUGGGCGGAAGCCUGAUGCAGCAACGCCGCGUGCGGGAUGACGGCCUUCGGGUUGUAAACCGCUUUCAGCAGGGACGAAGCGCAAGUGACGGUACCUGCAGAAGAAGCACCGGCUAACUACGUG
rnacentral:rRNA from 1 species